ACAAACCAUGCAGCAGAUCCUCAAUGAAAAUAAUCCAACUGGUAACUCUGAAUUGGACUACCGGUUUCUGUCAAAACACCCACACUGUGAUGAAAGUGACCUUGUGAAAAUCCAAGACAUGGAACAGCUUGGAUGUUAUCAGUCUUUGGACAAGUCAUGAUGAGGUUUAAUCUCUCGCUCCUUCCCUCUCUCUCCUGGCCUCUUCUCUGUCACUUCUCCCCUCAUAUCUCCUCUACAGCACGUGGGUAUUGCGGCCUUCUUGAUCAAGUUCUAAUGAAGUGGCUGAUGAUAUCUGCAUCCUGUUGAUAGACACUAUGCCCCCAGAUGCAGAGACUGGAGGAGACAACAGCCAUUAUUUAAUAUCUGCUCAUUAUUACUGAACCAAAAUGUAAACGCAACAUGUAAAGUGUUGGUCCAAUGUUUCAUGAGCUCAAUUAAAAGAUCCCAGAAAUGGUUUACAUCCUUGUUAGUGAACAUUUUCUGAUAAUCCAUCCACUUGACAGGUGUGGCAUAUCAAGAAGCUGAUUAUAAAGCAUUAUCAUUACACAGGUGCACCAUGUGCUGGGGACAAUAAAAGGACACUCUAAAAUGUGCAGUUAGUGCCACAUAACACAAUACCAUAUAUGUCUAAAAUUUAGAGAUAGUGUGCAAUUGGCAUGCUGACUGCAGGAAUGUCCACCAGAGUUGUUGCCAGAUAAUUUAUUGUUAAUUUCUCUGCCAUAAGCCAUCUCCAACGACGUUUUAGAGAAUUUGGCAGUAUGUCCAACCGGCCUCACAACCGCAGAGCACGUGUAACCACGCCAGCCCAGGACCUCCACAUCUGACUUAUUCACCUGCGGGAUCGUCUGAGACCCGCCACGCGAACAGGUAAUGAAACUGAGGAGUAUUUCUGUCUGUAAUGUAGCCCUUUUGUGGAGAAAGCUCAUUCUGAUUGGUUGGGCCUGGCUCCGCAGUGGGUGGCCCAUCCAUGGCUACGCCCAGUCAUGUAAAAUCCAUAGAUUAG
rnacentral:lncRNA from 1 species